ACGUAGGGUGCGAGCGUUGACCGGAAUUAUUGGGCGUAAAGAGCUCGUAGGCGGUGUGUCGCGUCGGCCGUGAAAACCUGCAGCUUAACUGUGGGCUUGCGGUCGAUACGGGCAUCACUGGAGUUCGGCAGGGGAGACUGGAAUUCCUGGUGUAGCGGUGAAAUGCGCAGAUAUCAGGAGGAACACCGGUGGCGAAGGCGGGUCUCUGGGCAUUAACUGACGCUGAGGAGCGAAAGCAUGGGGAGCGAACAGGA
rnacentral:rRNA from 1 species